GGCUGGGUGCUGGAAUUGGUAGACAGUUACGUCUCAAAAACGUAUGCCCUUUCGGGGCGUGAGGGUUCGACUCCCUCCCCAGCCA
rnacentral:tRNA from 1 species